UGCCUAAAUUUGGCUGCCAAUCCUC
rnacentral:piRNA from 1 species